AGAGUUCGAUCAUGGCUCAGGACGAACGCUGGCGGCGUGCUUAACACAUGCAAGUCGAACGAGAGGACAUGAAAAGCUUGCUUUUUAUGAAAUCUAGUGGCAAACGGGUGAGUAACACGUAAACAACCUGCCUUCAAGAUGGGGACAACAGACGGAAACGACUGCUAAUACCGAAUACGAUCCGAAAGUCGCAUGACAUUUGGAUGAAAGGGUGGCCUAUCGAAGAAGCUAUCGCUUGAAGAGGGGUUUGCGUCCGAUUAGGUAGUUGGUGAGGUAACGGCCCACCAAGCCGACGAUCGGUAGCCGGUCUGAGAGGAUGAACGGCCACACUGGAACUGAGACACGGUCCAG
rnacentral:rRNA from 1 species